rnacentral:rRNA from 1 species
UACGUAGGUGGCAAGCGUUGUCCGGAUUUAUUGGGUUUAAAGGGUGCGUAGGCGGACAGGUAAGUCAGUGGUGAAAUCUCCGAGCUUAACUCGGAAACUGCCUUUGAUACUCUCUGUCUUGAAUAUGGUGGAGGUAAGCGGAAUAUGUCAUGUAGCGGUGAAAUGCUUAGAGAUGACAUAGAACACCUAUUGCGAAGGCAGCUUACUACGCCUAUAUUGACGCUGAGGCACGAAAGCGUGGGGAUCAAACAGG